rnacentral:rRNA from 1 species
CCUACGGUGGCAGCAGUAGGGAAUAUUGGACAAUGGGCGAAAGCCUGAUCCAGCCAUGCCGCGUGUGUGAAGAAGGCCUUCGGGUUGUAAAGCACUUUCAGUGGGGAAGAAAGCCUUGGGGCUAAUACCCUCGAGGAAGGACAUCACCCACAGAAGAAGCACCGGCUAACUCCGUGCCAGCAGCCGCGGUAAUACGGAGGGUGCGAGCGUUAAUCGGAAUUACUGGGCGUAAAGCGCGCGUAGGCGGUCUGAUAAGCCGGUUGUGAAAGCCCCGGGCUCAACCUGGGAACGGCAUCCGGAACGGUCAGGCUAGAGGGCAGGAGAGGAAGGUAGAAUCCCCGGUGUAGCGGUGAAAUGCGUAGAGAUCGGGAGGAAAACCAGUGGCGAAGGCGGCCUUCUGGACUGACACUGACGCUGAGGUGCGAAAGCGUGGGUAGCAAACAGGAUUAGAUACCCGGGUAGU